GUAGAGAGAAAGCCCUUUAGGUAUGUUGAGAUGAGGUCAUCAGGACUUAUUGGUAAACAAAAAAUACACACUAAUACAAUCAGCCACAAUCCAAUGCAUGGUACUCCCAGGAAUCUUCAUCAAUCAAUUCAUCAACCCCUCAAUCUUCAUAGCUGCACUAUACAGUGCUUCCAUACAUAUAUGUGAAGAUAUUGCAUCCAACCAGAAUAACUACCAUAUCAGGCAAAUAACGAUAUUGGGCUGACGAAGUUGCUUCAUAGCGAUCUGAAAGAUGAAAACAAACCAAGGUCAAUGGAAAAAGCUCUUUGGAAAAAGAUGUACCUGUUUCACAUGAUUACAUCAAAGAAAGAACCAAUUAUUAUGCCAUAAAUCUAUCCAUAAUCCAUAGCCUAUACUGAAACCUUCCCAUUUACAGAGCUCAUAAUCUCUUUCAUAACAAACAGGAAGUAUAUAGGGCAAAAGUAUGUCACUGGAGUUAAAGGUCGUGUAUCAUGUAAUAUACUCCCUCCGUCCCAUAAUAUAGUGCCUACUUAAUUUUUGGUAGGUCAAACUUUAAAAUAUUUGACUGAAUAUUCUCAUUUGUAUAUAUAGAAAAACAUAUUCAUGUGGGAUAUGUUAGAUUCA